AGCCGGCAGCUCAGGGUUUCUGAGCCUGCUGAAAGGAAGCUGAAACAGAAGCAUUUCAAGAAGAGCCUGGCGGAAUGAAUCACAGAUACGCAGUUCCAGUCCACCGUCAUCAUGUCUCAGGAACAGUUUGGCAAGGAUGGCGGAGUCCAUUGCACUGUGCUGAAGUUUGCUCCACACUCGCUUCCAGGCAGUGUGGAGGCAAAUCAAAACUGAACAUCAGCACUCUUCACAGGAUUUCCUGCCAGAGCUGGUCACUCCGUCUGGGUUUCAAGCUGGUCUGACAGGCAAGCGGAGUGUUUUCAAACCCGCUAGAGCUGACCUGAGACAGCAUGCUUAUUCUGUGCAAACCCACUCUCAGAAUGGCUUGCGGUACUACUUGCUUUCUCACGUGGUGUGUAUUCA
rnacentral:lncRNA from 1 species